rnacentral:rRNA from 1 species
UACAGGGGGUGCAAACGUUGCUCGGAAUCAUUGGGCGUAAAGCGCGUGUAGGCGGCCCGGUAAGUCCGCUGUGAAAGUCCAGGGCUCAACCCUGGGAUGCCGGUGGAUACUGUCGGGCUCGAGUCCGGAAGAGGCGAGUGGAAUUCCUGGUGUAGCGGUGAAAUGCGCAGAUAUCAGGAGGAACACCGAUGGCGAAGGCAGCUCGCUGGGACGUGACUGACGCUGAGACGCGAAAGCGUGGGGAGCAAACAGG